UUUUUUUGAUUAUGUAGAUUUCUUUUCCUACUGCAGUUUCAUAUGCAAAGCAUGCAUCAGCCACAUCCAUGCUAUCUCCUAAAGCAGUCAUUCUGAAACCCAAUCUGGGGACAGUGCAGACUAAAUAAAAUUUCAUUUUGAUUUGGCCUCCCGCUGCGAAUGGGACUGCUUUGUCUCAGCCGACAGAACCAGCAAGCCAGAAAGGGAAUGAAGACAUUUGGAGAAGAAGCGUUUACUGAAAGGAGAUUCCUGGGCUGGAGGAAAACCAUGAUCUACAGUUCAUGUUGACAGAUAUUGUAUUUUUGGUCCUAGAUCUGACUUUUGAAAUGACUUAUCACAAAUUCAAAUUUAGCAAUCAUGAGUGAAGUACCCACGAUGUGCUAAGCAUCUACCUCUGCAGAUAGAAGAACACUUACUGUUCCUGAGCAUGGGAGGGAAUAGAAGUUCCUGGGUCCUGGCCUCACCUCAUCAGGCACUGCCAAAUUUGACACCUCCUUCCUGUUCACGGCAGUCCUUUGCGAUAGGACGAGGGAACUGAGCUGUCAAAACUAAGUGACUUGAUUGAGGCCAUGCAGCUGGCGAGGGGAGGACCAGGAUCUGAACCCAACUGGGUCUCCCAAGCCUGGGCCACUGAACCAUUUCACCUCUUGGAAAAACUUAAUGGUCAGAGUGGCCCACCCAGUCCAUGGACAGCAUGGAGGAUAAACUGCUUCCCUAGAAAUCCUCUCCAGCAUUCUUGCCACCACGACUUUGGGACACAUUGACCAUGAGGAGGAGCUGGUCAAUGAUGGACAGGAGUCCAGAUUAGCAGAGAUGUGGUAAUAAGGACACCGAUGCCUAAAUACUUGAAAUAUCCAAUAGGAAGCAUUCCACCUUUGUGCAAAUGCGAACCACAUCUCACCAAGUUCAGGCCAAGGCUGCCACCGGUGACGUUUUGGAAAAGAAAAAAAAAAGCGGGGGGAGAGGAGAGAAACAGAGAAGCAAGGAAUGCAGAAGAGAGCAGAGGCCACAAAAACAGCAGCAACGUGUCCUGUGUAUUCUGUUUCCUUGUAAAACUAUGAAGCAUGUUAAGGAGAUACUUCAUUUUUUGAGGAUUCAUACUCUUGUUUAUAUUAUAAUAAAAACAACCCAUGUUCUUUCUAAAAAUUUAGGCAAUGCCUUCGUGCACAUAAAAGUAAAACAAAAUCACCUGUAAUCCUACCACACGCAGAUCAGCACUUGCUAAUCUUUUCACAGGGAUCCUAAGAAUAUCCUAUUCUCUAUAGAAUAUAGUUGAUUUAUGUUACCUAAUAACUAACUGUUAACCAUUUUAAAAUUCUUCAGUUUUACAUUAUGCUAGAAAAAAGGAGCCGUCACUCUACGUGACAUUUCUGUAUAUUGGUUUAUUCAUUCAAUAAACAUUUUUUAAGUACCUACUA
rnacentral:lncRNA from 1 species